AAAGAGAAAUAUUUAAAAUUACUUUUAAAUUUAAUUUACCUUAAAAAAAAUAACCCAUUUUUGGCACACGUUGGCAGAGGACUGUUCCAGAAGACUCUUCUCAUUUCUUGUGAAGUCAAGUUCGCAGCGCAGCACAGCACUACAACGUUAGAGCUAUGGAUCCUCAAACAGCAUUAGAGCUUGUCAAGCACGGCGUCACUCUUCUCUUCCUCGAUGUUCCUCAGUACACCCUCAUCGCUAUUGAUACUCAGAUGUUCUCAGUGGGGCCUGCUUUUAAGGGUAUUAAGAUGGUUCCUUCAGGCACUCAUUUUGUGUACUAUAGUUCAUCAAGCAGAGAUGGAAAGGAGUUCUCACCAAUUAUUGGAUUCUUUAUUGAUGCUGGCCCUUCAGAGGUAAUUGUUCGUAAAUGGAAUCAAAAAGAGGAAAAGCUAGUCAAAGUGUCUGAGGAAGAGGAGGAAAGAUAUAGUCAAGCUGUUAAAAAUUUGGAAUUUGACAGACAACUUGGCCCUUACAAUCUUAACCGUUAUGAAGAUUGGAAGCGAUUAUCUAAUUUUAUUACAAAGAGUGUCAUUGAACGGAUUGAGCCCAUUGGAGGGGAAAUUACUGUUGAAUGCGAAAGUGACAUGGUUAGAAACACUCCUAAAACACCAAUGGAGGAAACACUAGACAAUCAGUUGAAGGUUGGCAAUUCUGUAACAUCUGUUGGCAAGACCCAGAGGAAAGGAUGUUAUUAUACUUCAAUUCCACGUAUUGUAAAAUGCAAGGGGGUUAGUGGGCAGGAACUUACUUCUUUGAAUCUUGACAAGACACAGUUGUUAGAAACUCUUCUGGCAAAAGAUUAUGGAGGUUCUGAAGAAUUGCUUCUUGGAGAACUGCAGUUUGCAUUUGUUGCCUUUUUGAUGGGUCAAUCAUUGGAAGCAUUUCUCCAGUGGAAGUCCUUAGUCAACCUUUUCUUUGGCUGCACUGAAGCACCUUUCCAUACACGAACUCAACUAUUCACAAAGUUCAUUAAAGUCGUGUAUUAUCAACUGAAAUACGGACUACAGAAAGAUCACAUGGAUGAAACAGGAUUGACAUUGUUGGAUGAUUCUUGGCUUUCUGCUGAUAGUUUUUUGCACCAUCUUUGCAAGGAACUUGAAGCCAUGCUAUUAUUCUCUGAGGCUAAGAUUGAGAAGAAUCAGAAGAAUGUAGUCAUUAAAUCACUAUUGAUGAAUCUCACUCAAGAAUUUCCUAUCACUCUGUCUCAGCCUCAGCCCAAUCUACCUCUCACUUCACCUUUUCUUGAAACUCAAUCUGAGUUCAGAUACACUGAGCAACAGAAUCAGCACAAUAGUACUUUUUCUGCUCAUCAUGGCGGCCCUUUUAGAGGCCUUGGUGGUUGUUUUGGUCAAGGUAGAGGUCAUGGCGGCAGGUUUUACGUUCAACACCUGAUCUGUCAUAAGAUGGGCCAUGCUGCUAAUGUGUGCUGGUACUGAAGUACUAAUAUUCUAUUCCUACUCCAAAUCAGUUUAGCUUCUGGUCGAAUUCAUGGCAACAACCAGGAGUACAACAUCAUUCUCAGUUUAGGCUAGUGUUUCCUCCAAUUUAUGGUGAAACUUUUGGGAUGAAGUAUUGUUAGGAUUUCUUUUCGUCAUUGCUAGAUGGGUCAGUUGUUGAUGGAGAUCUUUUAAAAUGGACAAGGAAAUUGAAGGAGCUGUUGGAGAGCAAUCUAGGGUGGGAGUUUCAGCAGAGCAGUGCUGUUGAUGGGAU